UACGUAGGGGGCAAGCGUUGUCCGGAAUCAUUGGGCGUAAAGAGCGUGUAGGCGGCUAGGUAGGUCCGUUGUGAAAACUCGAGGCUCAACCUCGAGACGUCGAUGGAAACCAUCUAGCUAGAGUCCGGAAGAGGAGAGUGGAAUUCCUGGUGUAGCGGUGAAAUGCGCAGAUAUCAGGAAGAACACCCGUGGCGAAGGCGGCUCUCUGGUACGUGACUGACGCUGAGACGCGAAAGCGUGGGGAGCAAACAGG
rnacentral:rRNA from 1 species